GAUGAAGAACGUAGCGAAAUGCGAUACUUGGUGUGAAUUGCAGAAUCCCGUGAACCAUCGAGUCUUUGAACGCAAGUUGCGCCCGAAGCCAUUAGGCCGAGGGCACGCCUGCCUGGGCGUCACACGUCGUUGCCCCCCCAUCUUCUCCUUCGGGAUUGCGGGGGGCGGAUGAUGGCCUCCCGUGCGCCUCGCCGCGCGGUUGGCAUAAAUGCCAAGUCCUCGGCGACGCACGCCACGACAAUCGGUGGUUGCGAAACCUCGGUUGCCCGUCGUGUGCGGUCGUCGCGCAUCGAGGGCUCGAAAAAAUUGCCGGGUUCCGGCUCGGCUUUCAACGCGACCCCAGGUCAGGCGGGGUUACCCGCUGAAUUUAAGCAUAUCAAUAAGCGGAGGA
rnacentral:misc_RNA from 1 species